rnacentral:lncRNA from 1 species
UGUCAAGGGCCUCGGUGCCCAAGACAGCAGGGCCUCGACUACGUAGUUCGUAGUCGCGGUGGAUAGGAGCGCUAGGGUUUUUGCCUGGCUGCUCUAUGAUGCGGGAGGAGAAGAUAGAAGGAAAUAACUUUAUUGCUUGUCCCUAAAGGGUGCUAACUAUCUGAUAUAUAAAGGCCCCAUGGGCUAAUAACAAACUAGAAACCUAUACGAAACAAACUAGUCUAGGAACUAAUGUGCCCGGAUCAGGACUCCUGUCCAGCCUGCGCCUUGCCUGAUGCGGCCGUCGGCUGCUCCUGGCCGCGCGGCCCACGUCUGUAAGACGUGCCCCACAUGACAUCUCUCCCCCCCUCGAUGAGCAGCUCGUCCUCGAGCUGAAAAGCGGGGUAGCGCUCGACGAAACUGUCAAGAUCCUCCCAUGUAGCUGACGAAGCUGCUUCACCCUUCCAGUGGACGAGUAGCUGGCGAACGCCGCGUGCUAGGCGCGCACGAGUCACGCGCUCUGGUUCUGGAACAGCCGCCCCGUUGUGGAUCGAAGGCAAUCCCGGCGGUGUAGUUGGAGGAAUGCCGAAGAACUUCUUGAGGAGGCCCACGUGGAACACGUCAUGGAGGCGCGAGCGUGCCGGAAGCUCAAGACGGUAUGCCACGUCGUUGAUCACUUCUGAAAUGCGGUACGGCCCAUAGAAUCGUGGCUUGAGCUUGCCCCUGGUUGGCAAGUUGAGAGAGGACGCGGCGCGCUGUCGAAGGCGAAGCCAAACCCAAUCGCCCACCUCAUGCCGAAUGUCCCGAUGAUGUCUGUCGUAGUAGGACUUAUAGACCGCCUGUGCCUGUUGUAGACGAUAGCGGACGUCCUCGAUAAGUUCGUCGCGCUCAGCCAUGCUCCUGGCCACUGCAGCUACCCUUGUGUCGCCGGGCUCGUAAGAGCGAAUAGUGGGAGGGUCACGGCCAUACACAAGCUUGAACGGAGUCUCUUGGGUUGUUGUCUGGUAGGCGGUGUUGUAUAUGUACUCAGCCCAGGGAAGCCACCGGAGCCACUGCUUGGGACGAUCCCCGGUAAGACACCGUAAAUACAUCACAAUGAUCUUGUUAGCAGCCUCCGUUUGACCAUCCGACUGCGGGUGAAAUGCUGACGUCAUGUGCAGCUUUGUCCCCGUGAGGCGCAUGAGCUCUCGCCAAAAAGCGGAGGUGAAGACGGGGUCGCGGUCAGAGACCAUGGACUGCGGCACGCCAUGGAGACGAACAACCUCAGCGAAAAACACCUGUGCCACUGACUCUGCCGUGUAUGGGUGGGCUAACGCCACAAAAUGGCAAUACUUGCUGAAGCGAUCCACCACGGUGAGGAUGACAGACUUCCCGCCUACUCGAGGAAGCGCUUCCACGAAGUCGAUGCCGAUGUCAGUCCACACGCCCGUGGGCACCGGCAGCGGUAGUAGCAGCCCAGCGGGGUGCAAGUGCUCGGACUUGUACCGCUGGCAAGUACCGCAAUUGCGGACGUACUCCUGCACCGUCUUGCGAAGGUUAGGUGCGUGGAAAUCGCGGCGGAGACGAUGCAAUGUGCGCAGGACGCCUUCAUGCCCAUCAUCGUGCACGGCACUGAGAAUCUCCUGGAGUAGCGGGGAUGACGGCGGAAUGUAGAGGCGGCCGUUGAAAGUAACGAGGCCGUCGGAGAGCGCCCAAGGCUGUUGCCGCGCGCCUGCCGUGAUAUCCUCCCGCAGUGUGACGAGCGCCGGAUCAGUGGACGUCGCUUGCCGGAGGCGAUUGAUGAAGUCGAAACGAGGCCCCGAGACCGCCAUGAUCGUCGUCUCCUCCGUGUCGCGGCGGGAAAGUGCAUCCGCCACCGUGUUGGUACUACCUGCCUUGUACUCCACCGUAAAGUCGAAUCCCAGGAGUUUGCCAACCCAAUGAUGCUGCGGGAUGGUGGCCAAACGCUGGUCAAGCAGAAAUUUGAGGCUGUAAUGAUCCGUUUUUACCACAAACUGGUGCCCCCAUAGGUACGGCCUCCAGUGGCGAAUCGCGAGCACCAGGCCGAUGAGUUCCCGUUCAUACGCUGCCAGGGAACGGUGACGUGGCGCGGCUGGCCGGCUAAAGAAAGCCACCGGGUGGUGGUCCUGAAGAAGGACGGCCCCGAAACCGUACGUCGAUGCGUCACACUCGACGAUGAACGGCCGUGUAAAAUCCGGUAACGCGAGGACGGGAGCCGUGGUGAUUGCCGUCUUGAGGGUGUUAAAAGCUGCUGCCGCCUCCGGCGACCAAGAGAAACCAUCCUUGCGAAGGAGGGCCGUCAGGGGCGCGGCAACCACGCCAAAGUCCUUGACAAACUUGCGGUAGUACCCCGCAAGGCCGAGAAAGCCCCGAACCGCGCGCGCCGAGCGUGGUUGCGGCCAGUCCGCCACUGCCUGCACCUUUUCCGGAUCCAUGGCCACGCCUGCAGCGGAGAUGGUGUGACCCAGGUAUGCGAUUGAUUCAACGGCGAACGCGCAUUUGGAGCGCUUGACGAAGAGCCGGUGCUGGUGCAGGACCGUGAAGACGGUGCGCACAUGUCGGAGAUGGUCAGCCCAUGUCUCGCUGAAAAUGAGGAUGUCGUCAAAGAAGACGAGAACAAAACGGCGCAGGUAUGGCCGCAGCAGAUCAUUCAUGAGGGCCUGGAACGUGGCCGGCGCGUUGCAGAGUCCGAACGGCAUCACCAGAAACUCGUAGAGGCCGUCAUGAGUACGGAAAGCUGUCUUCGGGAUGUCCUCCGCACGCAUCCGCACCUGGUGGUAGCCGGAACGUAAAUCGAGCUUGGUGAAGAAACGAGCGUGCCGUAGCUCGUCGAGGAGUUCGUCCACCACCGGAAUCGGGAACGCAUUCUUGACAGUAAUGGCGUUCAGGGCGCGAUAAUCGAUGCAGAAGCGCCAGGACCCGUCGGCCUUGCGGACCAGCAGUACCGGGGACGAGAAUGCGGAACAACUCGCACGGAUGAUACCUUGGGCGAGCAUGGCGGCGCACUGACGCUCCAGCUCGUCCUUGUGCGCGGCCGGGUAUCGAUACGGACGGACGGCCACCGGGGCGGAACCAGGUAGCAGGGUGAUGCUGUGAUCGCGGCUGCGGGGCGGUGGCACGCCGGAGGGGUCGGCGAAGAUGCCGUCGAACUCGGUGAUGAUGGCGUCCAGGAAGUCGCGGCCGCUGCAUGAUUUUAGGGCUGGCCCGUCCGGUCCUGCAAUGCCGUGCCAGCACACCCGAUGGCCCCGCCGCCAGAAUGUCAUGGAGAGGGCUCGGAAAUCCCACAGGAUCGGUCCGAGCGACGCCAGCCACUGCGUGCCCAGGACGAUGUCGUAGCCCGCGAGCGGCAAGGCGAGGAAAUCCUCCGUAAACUCCUCGUGGCCGAUGCGGAAGGGCACGACGCGGUACGCGCCCUGGCACGGAACGCGCUCGCCGUUGGCCACCGUGACGCGCAUCUUCUCUGUGGUGGGGGGCGGUAACGUAGCACGAGCGGCCGCCUCUUCGGCGAUGAAGUUGUGGGUGGAGCCUGAAUCAAUCAGGGCGAGGAGGGAGACACCUCCGAGAGUAAUCUGCAUCUGCAUGGUUUCACUCGUGCGCACGCCGGCGAUCGCGUGGAGCGAGAUUUGAGGGUCGGCCCGCGAUGCAUCAUCAGUGGCGGAGGCCGCGUCGUCGUCGUCGUCGUCCGGCGCUAAGUCGAGGAGAAAGAUGCGCUGGCACACGCGGUUGUGGCCCCUGCCAAACUUCUCGUUACAGUUGAAGCAAAGGCCCAGGCGACGGCGUUCCUCCAUCUCUGUCUGGGAGAGACGCUUGAUUGGGCGUCCGUCCGGCAGAUUGUGGCCCUGCUGAGGUGCGGCUGGUGGGGCCGAAGCGGGGGGCGCGAGGCGUGGUCCUGGUGUCGGCAGGAUGCCCUUCUGUGGAAAACGCACUGGUGGUGCGGCGGAAAGCGCGCACUGGUCGCGCAGCUCCAAUUUGCGGGCGAGGCUCAUGGCGACGGCGAGGGACUGUGGGUUAUGGAUCUCCACGUCGAGGCUGAGGGGUGGCUGGAGUCCCGCGGUGAAGAUCUGCACUUUCUGUGUCUCGGAUAAGGUGCCUGCCCGGGGAAGGAGUGCCUCAAACCGCUCCUGGAAGUCGACGACGGACGUCGUGCGUUUGCACGCCAUUAGUUCGCCCAGCGGGUUAGCGCGCAGCGGUGGCCCGAAGCGGAGAUUGAGCAGCUCGGAGAAGCGGCGCCACGGAGGUGUGCCCUCGUCGCGCUGGACCUGCAUAUACCAUAGUUGGGCAGGACCCUCGAGAUUGUAGGACGCCAUCCACACCUUCUCCUCCUCGGCGAUCCGUUGUUGAUGGAAGAAGGACUCGCAUCUGUUGAUGAAGGCGAGCGGAUCAGACUUGCCGUCGAACUUGGGGAAGUCCAUCUUCUGGAACCUGGGCGGCCGAUCAUUGUGGUGCUGCCCAUCAUGGGCGGCGUCAGCGCUGGACGAGGAGGAGGACUUGUCCUUCUGGAGUGCGGUGACGGCCGACUGCAGGGACGUCACCGUGGCCGUCAAGGCCUCGAUCAUCUUAGCCAGAUCCGCGGUGGUCGGUUCUGCCAUGCCGGAAGUGACCGAGGCGGCAGCGGAUUGUGGCGAUGUCGGGGAGCUGGGCGCGGACACAGGGGGGAAAGCGGCCGGCGGAUGGAGCGUGGACGAGGAGGAGGAUCGCCUGGAACCUGAUACCAAGUUGUCAAGGGCCUCGGUGCCCAAGACAGCAGGGCCUCGACUACGUAGUUCGUAGUCGCGGUGGAUAGGAGCGCUAGGGUUUUUGCCUGGCUGCUCUAUGAUGCGGGAGGAGAAGAUAGAAGGAAAUAACUUUAUUGCUUGUCCCUAAAGGGUGCUAACUAUCUGAUAUAUAAAGGCCCCAUGGGCUAAUAACAAACUAGAAACCUAUACGAAACAAACUAGUCUAGGAACUAAUGUGCCCGGAUCAGGACUCCUGUCCAGCCUGCGCCUUGCCUGAUGCGGCCGUCGGCUGCUCCUGGCCGCGCGGCCCACGUCUGUAAGACGUGCC